GAUGAACGCUGGCGGCGUGCCUAAUACAUGCGAGUCGAGCGAACAGACGAGGAGCUUGCUCCUCUGACGUUAGCGGCGGACGGGUGAGUAACACGUGGAUAACCUACCUAUAAGACUGGGAUAACUUCGGGAAACCGGAGCUAAUACCGGAUAAUAUAUUGAACCGCAUGGUUCAAUAGUGAAAGACGGUUUUGCUGUCACUUAUAGAUGGAUCCGCGCCGCAUUAGCUAGUUGGUAAGGUAACGGCUUACCAAGGCGACGAUGCGUAGCCGACCUGAGAGGGUGAUCGGCCACACUGGAACUGAGACACGGUCCAGACUCCUACGGAAGGCAGCAGUAGGGAAUCUUCCGCAAUGGGCGAAAGCCUGACGGAGCAACGCCGCGUGAGUGAUGAAGGUCUUCGGAUCGUAAAACUCUGUUAUUAGGGAAGAACAAAUGUGUAAGUAACUAUGCACGUCUUGACGGUACCUAAUCAGAAAGCCACGGCUAACUACGUG
rnacentral:rRNA from 1 species